rfam:Daphnia magna strain Xinb3 scaffold01253, whole genome shotgun sequence.
GCCUUCUUAGCUCAGUGGUAGAGCGUUGGUCUCGUAUUAAAUUAAAGUUAACCAAAGGCCGAGAGUUCAAUCCUCUCAGGAGGCA